UACGUAGGGGGGCUAGCGUUGUCCGGAAUCAUUGGGCGUAAAGAGCUCGUAGGCGGUCUGUCACGUCGGAUGUGAAAGCCCGGGGCUUAACCCCGGGUCUGCAUUCGAUACGGGCAGACUAGAGUGUGGUAGGGGAGAUCGGAAUUCCUGGUGUAGCGGUGAAAUGCGCAGAUAUCAGGAGGAACACCGGUGGCGAAGGCGGAUCUCUGGGCCAUUACUGACGCUGAGGCACGAAGGCCAGGGGAGGCAAACGGG
rnacentral:rRNA from 1 species